rnacentral:rRNA from 1 species
GAGCAUGCGGAUUAAUUCGAUGCAACGCGAAGAACCUUACCAAGGCUUGACAUACACCGGUAACGCCCAGAGAUGGGUGCCCCUUUGUGGUCGGUGGACAGGUGGUGCAUGGUUGUCGUCAGCUCGUGUCGUGAGAUGUUGGGUUAAGUCCCGCAACGAGCGCAACCCUCGUCCUAUGUUGCCAGCGGGUCAUGCCGGGGACUCAUGGGAGACUGCCGGGGUCAACUCGGAGGAAGUGGGGAUGACGUCAAAUCAUCAUGCCCCUUAUGUCUUGGGCUUCACGCAUGCUACAAUGGCCGGUACAAAGGGCUGCGAUACCGCGAGGUGGAGCGAAUCCCAGAAAGCCGGUCUCAGUUCGGAUUGGGGUCUGCAACUCGACCCCAUGAAGUCGGAGUCGCUAGUAAUCGCAGAUCAGCAACGCUGCGGUGAAUACGUUCCCGGGCCUU